GUGCUCAGCCUUCUUCACAGUCCAACUCUCACAUCCAUACAUGACCAUAUCUGCAUAUUUACUCAAAAUGCCAGAAUAUAUUCUCAAAAUCACUUUUAAUGGAUGUAAAAGUAGGCUCUGAUCUGAAUCAGAAUCACCUGUCACUUGGCUCUUGCAGAUUCACAGUAAGUUUGAUUUGUGAGCAAAGAGAGAAGCUGUUGAGCAGAACAUGACAAACAAGAAUUGUAUACUGACUGCAUGAAAACAAGACAGUGCUACAGUUAGUGACUCUUGGUGAUUAUUUCUUCUCAUGAGGAGCUCCUUUUUCUCUAGACUAGAGUCUUCUUAAAUGGAAUACACAGCACAUACAGGAGAGGACUAGAAAGGGAGGCAGGGAAAAAGACAGCAUGAAUCAAAAUGUAAAUCUAUUUGCCUUUUUCUACUUACUAAAUACAGUGAGAAGGAGCCCAACAUCCCUUCACUGCUUCCUUCGUACACAUUCUUUUUUCUGGUUGAGAGCUCUCUCUCUCUAUGUACCAGUUCAGCUGUAGGCCACUCUGGCAGUGGCUAUUGAGGGGUGUCCAUUAGUGCCAAUGAAUUCAGCUCCAGGGAUUGUCUUGUUCUCUGGAAGGCUAUUUGUGGUCUAAAUCUGCCCCUCCCCCUUUAACUGCCAUCCUAAUUGUUUCUUCCUCUUGAUGGCCACAGCUCUUGAAAGAGCUGUUACCACUAUCUGCAUGUGCUUGCCACCCUUUAAUCUGCUCUCUGCUAAUUUAGCUCCUUCCUGUUCCAUUUCGCUGAAACUGCUUUCCAAAGGUCACUGGUGGCUUCUCUGUGAACCAUGAUCGUUUAGACUCCUUGUCCUCCCUACUAGAUGCUCUUCUCUUGGUUUCCAUGGCACCAAAACACCUGCUUUACUUCCUGCCUCUUUAAGCAUUUCCUUAGCCUUUGUGAAGUUCUUGCCCUCUGCUCCUGCCUUGUAUGUAAUGGCUCUGAGUUCAUUCCCAGGCUGUCUUCUCACUUUCUGUGGAUGGUCUUAUCCAACUGCCUAACUGCACCUCCUAGGACUGUAAAUGUCAAGAUUUCCAGAUCUUUAGCUUCACUUCAGCCUAUUGCUGGAGUUUCUCAAUCCACUGAUGCGAUGGCCUACAAGUCAGAUCAACUUAGAUAUAUUUGUAGGCACUAA
rnacentral:lncRNA from 1 species